GGAGUGGACGCAUCACUGGUGUUCGGGUUGUCAUGCCAAUGGCACUGCCCGGUAGCUAAAUGCGGAAAAGAUAAGUGCUGAAAGCAUCUAAGCACGAAACUUGCCCCGAGAUGAGUUCUCCCUGAGACUUUAAGUCUCCUGAAGGAACGUUGAAGACGACGACGUUGAUAGGUCGGGUGUGUAAGCGCAGCGAUGCGUUGAGCUAACCGAUACUAAUGAACCGUGAGGCUUAACCUU
rnacentral:rRNA from 1 species